UCCGACUUAACGUCGGCAGUCUCUUUAGAGUGCCCAACUUAAUGCUGGCAACUAAAGACAGGGGUUGCGCUCGUUAUGGGACUUAACCCGACAUCUCACGACACGAGCUGACGACAGCCAUGCAGCACCUACUAAGCAGUCCCGAAGGACGUUAAUAUCUCUACUAACUUCUCCUUAGAUUCGAGUCCAGGUAAGGUUUUUCGCGUUGCAUCGAAUUGAACCACAUGCUCCACCGCUUGUGCGGGCCCCCGUCAAUUUCUUUGAGUUUUAAUCUUGCGACCGUACUUCCCAGGCGGGAUACUUAACGCGUUAGCUUCGUCACUGAAGGGGUCAAUACCUCCAACAACAAGUAUCCAUCGUUUACGGCGUGGACUAC
rnacentral:misc_RNA from 1 species